AUUGAACGCUGGCGGCAGGCCUAACACAUGCAAGUCGAGCGAGCGGCGGACGGGUGAGUAAUGUCUGGCAAACUGCCUGAUGGAGGGGGAUAACUCCUGGAAACGGUAGCUAAUACCGCAUACCAUCAGAUGUGCCCAGAUGGGAUUUGCUAGUAGGGGGGGGAACGGCUCACCUAGGCGACGAUCACUAGCGGGUCUGAGAGGAUGACCAGCCACACUGGAACUGAGACACGGUCCAGACUCCUACGGGAGGCAGCAGUGGGGAAUAUUGGACAAUGGGGGCAAGCCUGAUGCAGCCAUGCCGCGUGUGUGAAGAAGGCCUUCGGGUUGUAAAGCACUUUCGGCGGGGAGGCGUUACCCGCAGAAGAAGCACCGGCUAACUCCGUGCCAGCAGCCGCGGUAAUUC
rnacentral:rRNA from 1 species